AGUUUUUAUCAGGUAUCAGCAAUUGCCUUUCGUUAGGUGAAAGAAUGAGGAAGGUACCAAAGAGUAGCAGACUUGUAAGCUUUAGACAGUUCUGAGUGCUUUUUCAUUUUACUUCAUCCUCUAAGGAGUGCAGUCUUGGCAUACCUACUUCGCUUUUAAGGGAAAGAACAGCGAACAGGCAGC
rnacentral:other from 1 species